UUUACUAUACUAAUUUUAGUCCAGUCUAAAAAAAAAACUAUUAACAGUAUUAACCCACCCAAAAUUGGCCCACCCAAUCAAGGCCAAGUCAACUCAACCACAGAACUAAAAUAAAGGGCCAAGCUAGAUAAGCCCAGGGCCGGCCCUGGCCAAGGCGACGGAGGCAAAAAAAAUAUUUUUAGGUCAAAUCAUUUCAGCCUCCCCAAUCGCCUCUAUCUCUAUUCUCGAUCUCAACUCUGAGCUUCCCCCCCCUCUCUCUCUCUCUAUCUCUCUCUCUCUGCAACUGCAAACUACAAAAUCUACAAGAAUCAGAAGUUCAAAACCCAUAUAUUUCAGUUUAUCUAUCUGUUUGCAAGAAUCAAAAGUUCAAAACCAAUUACCUGUAUCAAAACCCAUAUUGGCAUAUCAUUUCAGAUUGUUCAAAAAAUCAAAACCCAUAUCUUUCAGUUUCCAUCGCCAGCUGUUCCAGUUCGGGUUCGCCGUUCGCAAGCUUCAGCCGCUGGCCCGCUGUAUCUCAACUCUCAAGCUAGCCCCCCUCUCUCUCUGCAACUGCUAACUUAUGAAUGGCGCCACAUGACAAACAUUCUAGCAGCGAAGAAAGCCUGCAAGACAGCAAAUCAUCAAAAAGAUGAAUGCUCGUUGGCUAAGCACAGCACCAAUGGCGCCGCAUGACAAGAAACAUUCUAACAACAUAGACAGUGAAAGCCUGCAACGGCCUGCAAGGCAGCAAAUCAUCAAACUGAGAACACAAACAGUAAAGUAAGAGUAGUAUUUAAAGGAAGCUGAAAUCUUGAAACCUUACAACUGCAUAGGAUCUGUAAGGUUUUAAAAUUGGUACGUUGGUCUGCAUUCCUUAAAGGUCUAACCACCUGCAGAUGCAAAUGGCUGAUGAAGGACAGUCCACGUUAUUUGAUGGAUCCAACUAUUAUAUUCAUGGAAAAUCAGAAUGGAGGAUGUGUGGAAUGCAGCUACUACUGAGGUAUCCUACCAAAUCAGUUGAUGGUAUGGUAGGGCUAGACAUGAUUGCCAGAACAAUUAUCAAGGGGAAUAAGAUUAAGUUGCUCAAAGUCCAGUAUGAAACAUGCAAAAGUGAGUUGAUGAGAUAGUUAACAGCAUCAAGGCUCUAGGAAGAAGGACUCUAAAGUAAGUAUGCAGGUUUAAUCUCAAAGACAUCUAAAAUGACUUUUGAUGACAAUAGGACUGCCUUCACACUCUAGAAGGGAAGCUGCUCUCCAGGGAGAAGAAACUGAAGCUGAGACUGAUAGAGGGUCAGAAGAUGAUUUCUCAUAUGAUGGAGAUGACCUAUUUAGCUAACAAGUUCAAACAUAUGAAGGUCAAACUCUCAAUUUCGCAUUACAUUUUCAAAAUACUGGUGCAGAGAAGAAUUGGUCUUUAUCACUUCAAAAAAAUCCAAAAAGAUCACACAUGAGAAUCUGCCAAAGGGGUAAAAGCAUGAAGUUUGUUUAAGAUCAAUACCCCUAAUCCCUGCCAUCAUUUUCUCCUUCUGUGAUCAAUACCCUAAUCCCUGUCAUCAUUUUCUCCUUUUGUGUUGUCAUCAUUUUCUCCUUUUGUGUUGUCAUCGAAUAUUGUCUGGGCAGCUUGACCUUGGUUGUCAUCAGAUAUUGUCAAGGCACCUUGACCACCAAUUAUCAGGGCCAAUUAUCAGGGCGUUGUCAUUAGGGAUUAGCUUGGCCAUAUCAUCAUCUACUUUUUGUCUGGUAAAGCAAGGCACCUUCGAAAUACGAUCAAUUACACCCACAAGUUCCUGAGGUAUGAGGUAUGUGCUCUCAAGUGUCUCAAGAGCUGAUGCAGGAUGUCGACCUCUUUUGAAAUUAAUCUCUAUCUGACCAUCCUAGUGUUUAUCAGCCACCAUUUUUGCCAUUCUUUUUAGAUUGCGCAGAAUUUACUUUGACUACGCAGUCUGUCACAUUAAAAAGAAUGACAAAAAUGGUGGCUGAUAAACACCAGAAUGGUCAGAUAGAUAUUAAUUUCAAAAGGAGGUACUCAUGACAUCCCUGCAUCAGCUCUUGAGACACUUGAGCACAUACCUAAGGAACUUGUGGGCAUAAUUGAUCGUAUUUCGAUGAAGGUCUUCUAAUCACAUUUUGCCUUGCUUUACCAAAAAACUGUUUACCAAGUAGAUGAUGAUAUGGCCCAGCUAAUCCCUAAUGACAACGCCCUGAUAAUUGGUGGUCUUGGUGCCUUGAUACUAUCUGAUGACAACCAAGGUCAAGAUGCCUUGACAAUAUCUGAUGACAACUAAGGUCAAGGUGCCUGGACAACUCAACCAGCAGGUCAUUCACCGAUGACAACUAAGGUCAAGGUGGCCGGACAACUCAACCAGCAGCUCUUUCACCAAACCAAAGUAACUAGUUAACAACCCUCAUAACCCCUAUAUACUUCACUCAACAGACCAAACUCCAUGAAGAACCGCCUCAGUUGGUUACUCAACCAGUACCCUGCCUGCCAGGCCUAUAUCAGCAUGUUAAGAAGGUUGCUGUCAUGCGAGAAUUUCUAGAUUAUCACCGCCACUCGAAUCAGUUCAGUUUAUGAAUUUCCAAGCAUGCCUCCCUCAACAACUCAACCAGAGGCAGCAAAUGAUGCUAUAUAUAGACGUGCUUAUUUUUCUUUUUUGGUCUAGGCGAUUUUAGGGAUGUUUAAAUUUUUAUUGAGGGAUGUUUAAAUUUUUAUUUUUUAAUCCGAAAUGCAAUAUUACCCUAUAUUUGUAGAAAUAGAGAAAAAAGGAGCAUGCAUAAACAAAUUGUAAAAGUGAAUAAUUUGAAGGCAUAUAUGUGUACAAAUUGUAAAAGCA